GACGAACGCUGGCGGCGUGCCUAAUACAUACAAGUAGAACGCUGAAGAGAGGAGCUUGCUCUUCUUGGAUGAGUUGCGAACGGGUGAGUAACGCGUAGGUAACCUGCCUUGUAGCGGGGGAUAACUAUUGGAAACGAUAGCUAAUACCGCAUAACAAUGGAUGACACAUGUCAUUUAUUUGAAAGGGGCAAUUGCUCCACUACAAGAUGGACCUGCGUUGUAUUAGCUAGUAGGUGAGGUAACGGCUCACCUAGGCGACGAUACAUAGCCGACCUGAGAGGGUGAUCGGCCACCCUGGGACUGAGACACGGCCCAGACUCCUACGGGAGGCAGCAGUAGGGAAUCUUCGGCAAUGGGGGCAACCCUGACCGAGCAACGCCGCGGGAGUGAAGAAGGUUUUCGGAUCGUAAAGCUCUGUUGUAAGUCAAGAACGAGUGUGAGAGUGGAAAGUUCACACUGUGACGGUAGCUUACCAGAAAGGGACGGCUAACUACGUG
rnacentral:rRNA from 1 species